UUUUUUUUUUUUUUUUUUUUUUUUUUUUGGCUUUUUAGGGCCACACUCGCAGCACAUGGAGGUUCCCAGGCUCCAGGCUGAAUCAGAGCUGUAGCCACAGGCCUACACCACAGCCACAGCAAUGCCAGAUCUGAGCAGCGUCUGCCACCUACACCACAGCUCAAGGCAAUGCUGAAUCCUUAACCCACUGAGCAGGGCCAGGGAUCGAACCUGUGUCCUCAUGGAUACUAAUCAUAUACAUUUCCACUGAGAAGCGACGGGAACUCCUGGAGCAAUUCUUGAAAAAAGUGGUGACACAUGGUAUCGUAGAAACAUUGAAAUGAAACCCAAAGACCUGGUACCUAGACUGUGUGCCAUGCAUGUCCUGUGUUCAGAACCAAGUACUCGGUGCCCUGCUGAAUGAAAGGAAGUACCUUCAAUCAAACGGUUAUACUUCCUUCCACAGUCAGCCUACAUUGAAUGACUCAUGAACCAGACCUCUUGGCUCAAUCCACACAUUUCUGAAGGUCCACCCCAGCCUGAGGGUUUGUUUCCUAGCUAAAGCUUGCCUGUGUUACAACUGCAUCACAGUUCAACCUCUCUCUCCCCACUCCUGCUUUCCUCACUCCCAAGAGCAAGCUCUAAUAAAUCACUGGCAACAGAAUUGUCAUCUCAGAGUCUGUUUCCAUGGAAACCAGACCUGCAUCACCUAUAUUCUCAAAUAGCUCUGUAACCAUAGUAAAAUCAUUUACUCACACCUCCCUCUGUAAUUGAAGAAUCUUCCUGGGCUUGGAACAACUGGAAAUUUCCAGUGCCACACUCUGAACAAUGUUGUGCACGGGCAGAGACCUGCCCUCGGGAUUCACCUGCUGUGACCCAAUUCAUACAUUUUCCAAUCAAUCCCUUUGCAUUCCAUCCCCUUUAAAUGGUCAAGAGGGGAAAUUCUGUAUCCCUCUCAAGCACAUCUUUAAGGUCCAUCAAUUCCAAAGGAGGCUAUGGCCUUUCACCAGAUAGAAAAUGUCCUGGAAUUGGGGUAGCUUAGCGUGAUCAGGGUUUACUUGGGUUUACACUAACAGACUCAUGUACUAGAAGCCUCUCAGUCUCAGACAAACCCAGACAGUUGGUCACACAGCUCCACAUAUCUCCUGAUCCUUGGGUUUGCACAAUUGGUCAUCAGCCUGGCGACUCUGGCUGCCUGACUGUAUACAAGAAAGAAUAUAAGUCCCAAUACACAAAACUAGGUUAGAUCUCCUGCUGUACACUUUCAUGGCUCUCAUUAUUUUUCCUUUGUAAGACUUGUCACAACUGUAAUUAAUAAAUAUGAGCUAUUUGUCUAAUUUUUGUCUCUUCACUAGACUGCAAGUGCCCCAAGGGGCUAUGUGCCUUGUUUGUGGCUGCAUCCUUAGUGCUCAGCAGAGAGCCUGGCACACAAGCAAUGACCAAUAAAUAUUUGUUGGAUAAGUGAAUGAAGUGGAAAGGAAGGAGAUGUGUAACACCCAGGACCCAUCCAGAGGGUAAAAGAUUGAAAGAGGAUCAUGUGCAGGUUGCUCAGAGUCAAGGGAGAUAAAUAGGGAGUGGAAGACUAUGUGGGCGUUCAACCUUAUACCAUGAUUCUAUUUUCCUAUAUCAUUUCACUAUGCUAUCGAACUACUGUCAAACAUUUGCUUAAUUCCAACACUCAGAUUUGAUACAUAUCAUAAUUUUCUAUCAGAUCAAGUAUACUGUACCUGGAAUACAGUAAGCCCUCAAUUAAAAAAAAAAAAAAAAGUUAAGCAUUGGCGUUCCCUGGUGGCUCAGUGGAUUAAGGAUCUGGCAUUGUCACUGCAGCGGCUUGGGUCGCUGCUGUGGCAUGGGUUCAGUCCUUGGCCUGGGAACUUCCCCAAGCCUCAAGCAUGGCUAAAAAAAUAAAAAUUCAAAAUAACACAAACUUGUAAAUCAACUAUACUCAAUAAAAUAUUUUAAUUUAAAAAAUCAGUUUCAUAAUAAAACUAAGACAUCAUUUGAGGGUUUUGCCCCCCCCCAUGUUACCAUUUCUAUUUAUUGCACAAAAUGAUGACUAAAAUACCGUCACAUAAGUACACUAUCAAGAUAGUAGCACCAAAAUGUGCUAGCAGUCAUUAUAUUUUUACCAGAACGUACUUACUGGGGGAGAAAAAAAAAACAAUUUCAUUUAAGAAUGCCCUUUAUGAAUCAGUAAAAUAAUUAAUUUUAUUAUAUCUGGGCAGUUAGGUAAAUGCCUUUCUGUGAGAUGAAAUGGUAAGAACAUGUACAGAACUUCUGGGUAUUAUACCUGAAACUUGUGUAAUACUGUAAAUCAACUAUACCUCAAUAAAAAAUGUAAAUUAAAAUAAAAAAUACCCACUGUGUACUAAAGUAAUAGUCUCCAGGAAAAGCAUUUGGGCAGCUGAUUUGGGAACUGGACCACCUGCUUUUUCCUGUAACCCUAUUUUACUUGAAAAAACAACAUUUCCAUUGAGUAUUAUAUUUGCCAUGGGUUAGUCAUAAAUGGCUUUGAUUAUGUUAAGGUAUGUUCCCUCUAUACCCACUUUGGUAAGAGUUUUUAUCAUGAAUGGAUGUUGGACUUUGUCAAAUGCUUUCUCUGCACCUAUUGAGAUGAUCAUGCGGUUUUUGACUUUUCUUUUGGUAAUGUGGUGUAAGAUGUUGAUUGAUUUGCAUAUGUUGAACCAUCCUUGUGAACCUGGGAUGACAAACAGGCAAGGUAUGCUUAUUCAGAUUUGGAUAAGUGGCAGACAUUUUAUGAAAAAUAAACAAAAGUGAACCUUUAACUUCAGGGAAAACAAUUAAUGAUAUUGUUGUCAAGGAUAAAAGUUUCAAGUUUAAAAUUAGGAUUUUAGAAAACUGUAUCUUAUAAUUAGGUCUGUAGAAACAUUGUGAACUUAGCAGUUUAGCAAUACUUAAAGACUUUUCUGAUGAAAUGGGUAGUAAUAUAAACAAAUUUUUAAUAUUGUCUAAUGAAAUGUGUCAACAUUUGGAAGAUCUGCAGAUCUUAGUGAAAUGGCAUUUUCUAAAUGACAAAUACAUGGUAUAUUACAAAGUCAUGCAUGGGUAAAAGGUUCAUUCACAAUGCAAGACAGACCAAUGGAUUUUAAUGUAACAAAAACCAAAAAUCAGUAUGGUUUUAGAUUCCACAUUGCAACUAUCCUUUAAGAAACUACCACUUGCCAAGUUUUGGUGUAAUUUCAAAGACAAAUACCCACAAUUACUUGCCAAGGCUAUUAAAACACUCUUAUUUUAUUCUAAUUUACAUCUACUGGAGGCCAAAUUUUUUCAUAGUUCAACCAAAGCCACAGGUCGAAUGCAGGAGAAAUGAGAAUCUGUCUUCUGUUAAAUAAAAUACUAAAAAAUGUUGAAGUUUUGUAAAACAAUACCAUUCCUCUCACUAAUUUAUUUUGUCUCAGAAAAAGACAAAAGUCAUAUUUUAUUAAAAUAUAUUACUUGUCGAUACUACAGAGAGAGGAUUAAGAUGGCAGAAUAGAAGGACUGGAGCUCAACUUCUCUCCUAAAAACAACAAAAUUCACAACUAAAGACUGAGCACUCUUCACUCAAAUGGACUGUAAACCUUAAAAAAGAUAUCCUACUCCAGAAGAAAAAGAGGCCACAUCAAGAGGUAAGAGGGGCGAUUACACAAUAUAAACAACCCUAUACCUCUGGGGUGGAAAGCUCCACAGACUGAAAACUAACUGGUUCACAGAGACUCACCUACAGGAGUGAGAGCUCUGAGCCCCACAUCAAACCCUCACAUGUGGGGAUCUGGCACAGGGAGAAAGAGCCUCUGGAGCAUCUGGCAUUGAAUGCCAGUGGGGCUUGUACAAAGGAGCUCCACAGGACUGGGGGAAACAGAGACCCCCUUCUUAAAAGGUGCACACGGAUUUUCACGUGCACUGGGUCCCAGGGCAGAGCGAGGUCUCCAUAGGAAUCUCGGUCAAACCUGACUGCAGUUCUUGGAGGACAUCCUAGGAAAACAGGGGUGAAUGUGGCUUGUUGUGAGGAAAGGACAUUGAAAGCAAAGCUCUCGGGAAUAUUCAGCAGCUGCCUUUCUCUGGAGGGGGCCAUUUUGGGAAAACCUGGCCCCACCCAUCAGGGCUGAGAAGCCCCAGGGUAAACAACAAUCCAGGUGGGAUCACAGCCCUGCCCCUCAGUAAACAGGCUACCUAAAGACCCCUCAGGCACACAGCUGCCUCUAAUCCCAUCCAGAGACUAAGCCCCACCCACCAGAGGGAUUAGAAUCAGCUCCACCUACCAGUGGGCAGGCAUCAGCCCCUCCAAUCAGGAAGCCUACAGCAAGCCCCCAUACUGACUUCAGCCACAAGGGGGGCAGACACCAGAAGUAAGAGAGGCUACAACUCUGUUAUCUGUAAAAAGGUCACCACAUCAAAAACCUAUAAAAAUGAAAAGACAGAGAACUAUAUCUCAGAUGAGGGAGAAAGGAAAAGCCCCAGAAAAUCAGCUAAGUGAUCAGGAGAUUCUCAGCAUCCAGGAAAAAGACUUUAGAUUGUUGAUGCUAAAGAUGAUGCAAGACAUUGGAAAUAAACUGGAGGCAAAGAUGGAUAAUUUACAGGAAACACUGAGCAAAGAGAUACAAGAUAUAAAACUUAAACAAGAAGAGAUGUAAAUAAAAUAACUGAAAUAAAAAACUCAUUGGAAGCAGCCAACAGCAGAAUACAGGAGGCAGAAGAAUGAAUAAACGAAUAAGCAAGGUGGAGAACAAAUUAGUGGAAAUUACGAAUGUGGAACAGAAAAAGAGAAAAAAGAUUGAAAACAAAUGAAAAGAGUCUCAGAGAACUCUGGGACAACGUUAAAUGCACCAACAUCCGUAUUAUAGGGGUGCCAGAAGGAGAAGAGAGAGAGAAGGGGACAGAAAAAAUAUUCCAAGAGAUAAUAGCCAAAAACUUCCCUAACAUGGGAAAGGAACAACUCACUCAAAUCCAGGAAGCACGAGUACCAUAUAAAAUAAAACCAUGGAGUUCCCAGAGUACCAUAUAAAAUAAAACCAUGGAGUUCCCAUCGUGGCACAGUGGUUAACGAAUCCGACUAGGAACCAUGAGGUUGCGGGUUCAGUCCCUGCCCUUGCUCAGUGGGUUAACGAUCUGGCGUUGCCAUGAGCUGUGGUGUAGGUUGCCAACAUGGCUCGUAUCCCACGUUGCUGUGGCUCUGGCAUAGGCCGGAGGCUACAGCUCCGAUUUGACCCCUAGCCUGGGAACCUCCAUAUGCCGCGGGAGUGGCCCAAGAAACAGCAAAAAGACAAAAAAUAAAAUAAAAUAAAAUAAAAAUAAAUAAAAUAAAACCAAGGAGGAACACCCCAAGACACAUAUUAAUCAAACUGACCAAAAUUAAAGACAAAGAGAAAAUACUCAAAGCAACUAGGGAAAAGAAACACAUUAACAUACAAGGGAACCCUGAUAAGGUUAUCAACAGAUUUUCCAGCAGAAACUCUGAAGGCCAGAAGGGAGUGGCAUGAUCUACUUAACAUGAUGAAAGGAAAAAACCUCCAACCAAGAUUACUUUACCCAGCAAGGCUCUCAUUCAGAUCUGAAGGAGAAACCAAAAGCUUCACAGAUAAGCAAAAGCGAAGAGAAUUCAGCAACACUAAACCAGCUUUACAACAAAUACUAAAGGAACUCCUCUAGGCAGAAAAGAAAAGGCCACAACAGGAAACAAAAAUACCACAAAUGACAAGGCUCACCAGGAAAGGUAUAUGUACAGUAAAGUUACAAAAUCAUCCACACACAAUUAUGCCACCAAAAUUAGAAAUCAUGAGAAGAGGAGGGUACAAAUGCAGGACACUGGAGAUGCACUUGCAAUUAAGAGACCAAAAACUUAAAACAAUCUCACAUAUAUAUAGACUUUUUUUUUUGUCUUUUUUGCCUUUUCUAGGACUGCUCCCAUAGCAUAUGGAGAUUCCCAGGCUAGGGGUCUAAUCAGAGACAUAGCCGCCAGCCUACACCAGAGCCACAGCAAUGCAGGAUCCAAGCCAUAUCUGCAACCUACACCACAGCUCACGGUAACACCAGAUCCUUAACCCACUGAGAAAGGCCAGGAAUCAA
rnacentral:lncRNA from 1 species